AUGCUGUUUUCGUGUAAUAACAGUAAGUUGCUGUUUUUUACAGUGCAUUGUGGGUAGACUUGCUCACUUCAGGUCGGUUGUCGAGCAACAACAGAAUGUUACUGUUAUUUAACAGUAUUAUAGCAUAUUUUUCGUUGUGCACGCCAUUUUGGAUUGUCUGCAUGAGGUAGGUCUGCAGCUUUAUCGAUGCUUGUGCUAAUUUUAAAUUACAUAUUACUUUUAAAUAUUGCAUUUUAUCCAGUGAAGCUUUUCAAAAAUAAAUCAGAUUUAAUUUCCUAUUUUAAUCAGGCAAAGCGGGUAUUAUACCAUCACAUCAGUUACACUCACAUCAGAUCACAGGUAAGAAUUCACCAAAGUUUUAUCCAACCUGUUUAUUUUACUAAAAUGUGUGUAAAAGAUGAAUGAGGAACGAUCAAAAUCAAUUAUGGGUUUUGUGUCUUUACAUUUUUAAUGUGUGCAUUCUGUCUAUGCAAGUGAAAGAUACGCUUGUGUUAUCUGCAAAUUUGCCUGGUUUUUGUAUUGUCUUAAAAUCCUUUUAAAAUCCUUUGUUACCAAGUAUAUGUACAAAUAACACUAAAAAGAUCUGAUAUUUGUAAAUUCAUUACAUGCUGGUUAGCUGGUUGAAACAUCCUGUUGUAUGUGGCACGCUUUUAUUGGUGGUAAGACACAUUAAGUUUAUAAAAUGGACAUUGUCUCUGUUGCAAACAUGAUUUCAAACUUGUUAAGUCAUUAUGCAUCAAGUACAAGAAAGUGCAGUCAAACUUGAAUUUAUGUUUAUGGUUAGAAACUGAUGUAUAUUUAAAAAGUGUUACAGUUUUGUCCGUAGCAAAACCAAUUGAAUCGCAUCAAAAGAUUACUUCUUGACUCAUCUGAAUUACUUUUAUCCUCCAUGUAGGGUUAUUUUGGUGCUUUGGUGCUAUUUUUGUCCUUAUUCCCUUUUCGUGCAUUGUGUAGACAAACAAAUAUUACAGAUAUUAUUAAGAUGUGUGCCACUCCUGCUGACUUUAAGAAGACUAGUAACUCACCUGUGACACCUUGUUUGAUCCUGUUUGCAUCUUUGGCUAUAUUCUUGGCGAGAACCGGUUAAUGAUAACAUCUUCAACUUGCAAAAAGUGAAAGCAGCAUCCACACUGGAAGUCCUUUAAAGACGCUUCAUUAAAAUCAUACCGGGAACCAAGGCUGCAAAGGGAAAAGUGACCUCUAAAACAGGAAAACUGCAAAAGAAGACCAUCAACAGUCAGUCUCAAACUAUCAAAUCUUUUAAAAAGACUUAUGGACUUUGAGUGGUACUUCAUUUAAAAUGUAGCUGACACUUCCCACCAAUACAGUUUUUUUUUUUUAAAUAUGGUGGGCUGAAGUAAUGGCAGGUGACUUUUCUGAGGAGGCACGAAUGCAUAUCUAGCCAAAACAUUGUCAUGUGUGUGGCUCGUCAUUUCAAGAUGUGCGUUCGGCGCGUCAUGUGAACCUGUGCAUCGCGUGUCAUGUCAAAAUACGUGCCUGCUCCAGACACUUUGAAGGGGAUUAUGAUAAAAGAGAUGCUCACUUUUGCCAUACUAGCUUAAUCUCAUGUGUAAUCAGAGUUUAGUGUUAAAUGAGUGUCUUGCGAGUAUCAUGUCUUUUUUAUUCUUUAUCAUAUUCAAAGCGUUUGCGGCAGGCACGUAUUUUGACAUGAUGUGUGAUCCAUAUAGGUUUACAUUACACUCCAUUCCAGCCACCACUGGUGGGGUGGUGUUUUUAAUACUGGUUUGUAUAUUAUAGACCAUGUUUUCGUAUUUAAAAUUGGGCUGGUGUCUGGUAAAGAAUUAGCAAAUUAAUGUUUUAUUGAAUUCUUUUAAAAAUGUGGUGUUUUUACAGUUGUUAAACUUUUGUGCUUUUUUUUAAAUCAAAAUUUUAAACUACAUUUGUAUUUUAAGUAAAGAUAAGGCAUCUCAAUAUUGUUCUUUGUUUGUUAGAUUUUUUGUGUCAUUUUUUGUAUUAUAUGUUAUUGGUGCCUUUUAAUUGCACCACAGUUUAUGCACUGAAUAUUAAAAUAUAUCUGCUUGUAUUUCUGCCUGUUUUAUGG